GGUUGGUGAAACAGGUGGCAGUGGCCUCAAUUGGCUCUUGACCUGUCUGUCUGUCAGGACAUCAAAGGAUUCCAGGAAUGCUUCCAUGCUGCAUCUGAGGCAACUCCAAAGCACAGUACUUUGGGUUAUUUUGAUAGAUGCAAAUGUAUGUCUCUCUGCUGUCCUUCCCAUUUGAAAAUCCAUGAUGUCGGUUGGUCCCAUCUCUUCACACUGCAUGUGUGUUGUGACUAUACUGUAAAUUCAAGCUUGUCAGGAGUGUCUGUAUUCCUAAACCUAAUACCGAGACCAGUAAUGAGAAGAAAUCUAUAGAAAGGUAUGCUUCAUGGAUCAUUCCUCUCGAUCCACAGAUUCUGCACCCCCAAUUUCAACAAUCCAUAGCUUGAAUUACUUUAAAAGAAAAUCCAAUAGUCGCUCCUGCGAAGGAGGUGGGACUGAGAACAGGGCCUCCCCAGACGAUCUUAAACUCCGAAAUGGUUCAUAGAGGGAGAUACGUUCAGACAGAGUUUCUGGACACCUCAUUAUCAACAUCCUCCAAUGAUGUCAUCUAUGUCAGCCCUUAUAUGAGAGAUUUUGUCUGUGAAAUUAGUCAUUAAAGGCAUCACAGCGAGCCAUUGAAGAUUUUAACAGUGGGUUUAGGGGGAAUGGUAACUGAGUUAAACCUCUCUCCAUCCUGAAGAUUAUCUGGAUGUUAAUUUAUAGACAUAAAACAUGCAGGGAAGAACACUUUCUUUGCUGCACCUAUCGCCACCUUGUAGGAACUAAGAUGUCCUCUGUAUCAUGUCUUGUUGCAUAAAUAGGCAGUCACUAGGCAGGUAGUGGAAAGAGAGGAGGAGGAAUUUGAACAGCUGUGGUACCCAUUUGGUGGAAGGGAACUGGCUCUUUAGGUCAUACAACUAGUGUACUGGAGAAGGAGACUUCCUUUGGGGCUGGCCUGAGGGCUGAGCCCUCACUUUCAGUCAUGCAACUUUGGGAAGUGGGGCAAGGAGACUCAAGUUAUCCUUCCAGUAGCUGUCUUGCCAUGGAGCAACACAGCUUUUGGAUACUCCUUGGAGCUUAGCUGGUUCACCCAGGGAAAGCUGGAGAAGAGGUUUCAGGAGAGACUACCUGCCUCAGCUGCUCCCAUGCUAAUUUGUGCCUGCAUUUUUACACCGCUUAGCGCUUAAAGGAUAAUUACAUUAUAGUUGAAAUAAAAUCAUCUAUUUUAACACAGUCUCUGUGUUUGGUCUCUUUAUUCUCAUUGAUUAUCAACAUACAAGUGUUGGAAGUAGCCACCUCAGUUUGCUAAUGGUUGGUAUAAUUCUUAUUUGAGCAGGAAAAAUUAUUGGCAAAAUUUGAUAUUAUAGACUUAAAAUGAUGUGUAUACAGUAAGACUAAUAAGCUUUAAAAAAAUAAGAGUUUAAGAUUAGUUUGCUCUGUUUUUCAGCUCUUUGGUCAUUUUGGCAGAAGAGGUUCAUAACGAGAAGACAAAAAUGCCUCAUUUUAAUCUCUUCUCCCAAGAUUUUAAUAAAAGUAAAAGUACAGCUUGCUUACUUUUAUCUAGAAACUAUUUGGAUGAUGCCCAAUAUAAAGUCCAGAAUUAUUAGUUAUUUAACAUUUUCAGUAAUGAAUUUAGAAUUUGCUCUAUGGAUCAUUUAAAUGUAACUGAUACUGUUACCCAUAACUUUAAUUAUUUACUGGUCAAUUUAGUAUUUCA